AUCUAUACUAUACUAUAAUUCUGAGCUCCACAACAACUUUUAACAUGGUUAUGACAAGUGGUAAUCUAAAAUUAUGACAUCUGGAUCUCCAGACCCAAAACAGCAUUACACUCAAACACCGUUACCAAAGUGGAAGCGUUCGUAGACGUUACGAGUUCUUCCAUCUUCUCCACCAGCGUUAUCAUGGCUCUUCUAACCGUUACACGGCAGUGAAAUCGAUCAACUUCAAGCAGAUAUGGGGUACCAUAUAAAUUCAUAGCAACAGAAAAAUCGACUUCAUCAUUCCAAAAAAAACCCCAGCUGCCUUUUCAAUCUUUCAAAGAACCCAGCUGUGCCGACCAAAUUUUGUUAGCCCCAGAAUCUCGGAACCGAGGCAAAUCAGGUUCACCUGUACAAGAUAUUACAUGUGUUGUUGCUACUACGUCAAUAAUCUCCCAUAGAACUCCGGUGUGUCAGCAUCUCAAUAGGCUCACCGUAGCUGCAGUCUACCUCAGCCGAGGUGAUCUGUCUUGUCAAUAGAUCUACACGAUAGACUCCUUUCGUGUUUGCUAGAGCUCGAGCAAGUUUGACAACAUAUUUUACAUGGCCCCCAGUAUCAGAAUCUCUUCCCAGUUCCAUAUUUUCUCCACGCACCAACCCAUGUAGACCACAGGCAAAAAUAUAACUAACAUAAGAUGUAGAUAACCUGAUGAGCACAAUGUAUAGGCGCCUUGGCUUUUCUUCAUCAGUCCAAAUCUGCAUAUCUGAGCUAAUCCGGAUAAGUUCCUUGAUAGGUUCUGAUACAUAACCUUUCUCACCUUCAGAUAGCUCUGAAAGGUCUUGUACAACAUCAAAACGCCCUUGCUCUCUCUCCAGCCAUCUUUUUGCAAGCCUCUAUGCAUCAUUCCAUGCUAUUUGCAAACAACAUUGAAAUGGACAGCAAUAUUGUCACCCAUGCUCGACAUAGAAGACGCUUUGUUUUGCAUGAAAAAAGAGCGAAUGCCAUCUUAAAAAACAUGGAGAAUUAACUGGAAAAAUGCAAAAAAUGCAGGAAUGGUCCUACAACCCAGCCCCAUUGUCAAGAAUCAAUCUGUUGGAAAUGUUGAAAAAGAUGAUUCGAGUUUUAAAGCUAAAAGAAGCUCGACAGAAAAGGUCUUUAGUUUUAAAGGAAAAGAAAGAAAAUAAGAAGAUCAAUCAUGGGCAUUUAGUAGACACAAGUGCUCUUUGUCUAGAAUAACGUUACUAAUAUAUGUUCUACUCGUCAAAAAUAUCCAUCCACCUCCAAGACAAAUUUAUCUAAAACAGUUGACAAAACAACAAAUACUGUGUUUCAUCCUAAAAGAAAUAGAAAAAAUAACAACGUGACAAGUACCCUUGAUAAACCUUGGAAUUUCGGCCGGCCUACUUGCACUUGCACAUUUUGUGGAGCAGUACUGUGAUAUGAAGAGAGGACACUGAAAGGCAAAAUCGUUAAAGAUCCAAAGUUUUCUUUGUGUUGUAUCGCGUACAACUACCGUUAUUGCGCGAUCCUCCUUUUAUUCCUGAAAAACUUGCUUACUUGCGUAGAUCGACAAAAGACUAACCAUUACAUGCAAAAUAUUCGAUUGUACAAUGCUAUGUUUUCUUUUACUUCCAUUGGUGCUGCAUAGACCGGGACAUUAACAUGAAGCGUGGCCUUGCAUUUUUAGGCUAAAUGGACAAAAUUAUAAUUUAAUUGGAUUUUUAGCUCCAA